UUAAGAGUUAUCUGACCAAGCACAUGUACUCUCUGCUUGAAAUCUCCUUGCUGGGAAACUCAUUGGUUUUAUGCCCAUUAUGGAGUUUUUUUUGAACUUGUAUAAUACAUGGACUGGUUUAUUGCUGGAGGACUGUUAGGAGUUUCAGACUUGGACUUUGGUAAAUCUCACUUUCCAGCCCAAGGCCUUCCAGCUCUGUCUACCUGGUUACUAGCUAUUCCUGCGACUGACUUCCAUUCUGCCGAUGCAGAAUGCUGUGUUAAAAGGAUUGACUGGGAUGUCCUGCACAGAUAAACAGCACCAGUGAAACUCAGGGACACAACGAAAUUUAGCCCCAAAAAGGCUGAGUGACAUGUUUCAAGCACCACAAAAUAAGUGAUGUGCCUGAGAAAAUGCCUGCUGUUUCUUCACUGUUACUGUGAACUCCUGUAUUCAGCUCCCACAGUGCACGAAAAGAAGAGCUUAGAAGGGGCUCAUGUAGCAAUAGUCAGCCUCCUGCACAAAUGUAUCUCAGCUGAACAAGAACAAGUACCAGCAGCCACCACACAGCUUCAGUAACCACAUGGUGAACACAAGCCUUAUAUACAAUGCCAGAAAUGCAUGUCAUUUUACACUGCAUAUGUCAAACUAGAUGAGCUUAAAUGCACCAGUUUAGAAGAAGUCACUAAAACACAGAGUGCCUCUCAUAUCUGGUAUGAUGCAUGGAAAAUGAGUAUAAGUGCUAGCUUGGCAAAAAAGGUUACUGUGCGUGCAUCCACAAGGCCAGACCAUUUAGUUUUUUUUUUAUUGUGCACAAAAUAUUACUCAUUUUAAUGGUGAUUAAUGCUUCCAUUGUUUAUAAUUUGUAAUUAAAUAGCUUAGCAGUUUAUAUAAAGCAGUUUACUACUGUUCACACAUCCAUGUGGAAGAAAAAAAUAUUACCCCAUUACCACUUGCAAGAAAAACAGACUGAAUAUGCUGAACAACAGGCAUAC